rnacentral:rRNA from 1 species
UUAUUAUUCGUCAUUUGCAAUUCAGUUAAGAUGGGUAUUCACUUGUGUUACAAAUGGGACAAGCCCAAAUAAAUGGUUAAAGUUGAAAAAUAUGUACGCAUAUUGAGUAUUAAAUCAAAUUAUCUAAUAGAAGCUGUUAUAUCAGCUCAAAAGUUGGAUUAAUAGCAUCCAUCUUCUCAAAAGUGUGUAGUAUCUUAUGAGCUAAAUUAUCUAUGUAUGUAUUUCCCAAAUAAAAAUAUUGCUGAAGCUCUAAUAGUUAAGAUAGAAUAUUAUCCACUAUCGAGGUGGUGUAAAAAUGGCAAUUUAAGUAAUUUUAAUUCGUGUUAACCUAAUAGUAUAUCCAAUACUUUGUUAUCGCUGUCACACACAUUGCAUUAGAUUCAAUUCCUCAAGCAAGAUCCUUUUUGUUAUAGCUGAAGGUUUUUAUCUUCUCAAUAAAACCUAUCCUUAAUGUACUGUAAAAUCUUAGAUUGGACAUUCACAAAAUAGUGUCAGGGUUGUACACAUCUGCUCACAGGUUGGUGGUUUAUUAACAUCGGGGGUUCAUAAUAAAGAAGCGUAAAGAAUUUGGCAAGUAACUCGUCUAACUUAGGGAUAACAAUAAUAUUUAUCAAGCGACUGUAUAGCAAAUACACAAGGUUUAGUUAAAGAUGUCUAUAUUUUAGAACUGAUAUGUGACCAGUAUUUAUAAGCUCAAGGAAGCUUUGACAAACGUUGGCUGUAACUAUAACGGUCCCAAGGUAGCAAAUUUCCUUGUCGUCCAAAUAACGACCUGCAUGAAAGAUAGAACGAUUCGAUAGCUGUCUUGCAUACAUGUGCUGGUAAAAUAUUAGGUAGUGUGAAGAUACGGUAACAACGUUAUAGGACAAAAAGACCCUGUGAAGCUUUAUAGGGAUAAAAUUUAGUACAGGUUCUAUAUUAAUAUAUCUUCAUUUCAUGGAAAAACAGUGAGAUACCAUUCAUUGAGAAUACAAGAAGUUGCUUGCAAUAAGAUAAUUCACCAAUGAGUGAAAGAGUAAUGUUAGAUGGGCUGUUUAAUUGGGGCGAUAACCUUCUUUAAUCAAACCAAAGGUGAACAAAGCUAUUGCAGCAGAGCUUUGAUAAAGGACUAGUAAGUACAAAGAUAGAUGUGUAGCUUAAUGGUCAAGCGUUUGAUCCAGUAUUUAAAUGGUAUCUUAAUGACCUUAAAAUUAAUCUACCAAAUAAAAGCUACUCAAGGGAUAACAGGCUUAAUAUAUUGGAUAGCUCACAUUAUCAUUAACGUUUUGCACCUCGAUGUCGGCUUAUCUUUUCCAAAAGGCUAAUUCCAAAAGAAUUAAAGAUGAAAUAUUCAUUUAGCUAAUGUAUUAACACAUGCAUAUAUUAUACGUAUUAUUAUUUAUUAAUUUUACGAAGAGUUUAUUCAUUCAUACAUUAGUGCAAGAGUAUUAUUUUGCAUAGCUUUUGGCUUUGUCUUUAUUAGGUCAACGCAAUAAGCUUAUUGGUGGGAGUGCUCAUCCCAUAACAAGGUACGUGAGCUGGGUUCAAAACGAUGUAAAUCAGUUUGGUCUAUAUCUGUAACUUUAAUUAAUGUCAAAAUGGUAGUGUUGUUUGCUCAGUACGCAAGGACCAGCAACAAAUUGCUAAAGCUGAAUUUUGUGAUAUAGUGGUAUCACUGUUUCUAGAUAAGUGAUUAUUAGACAUUUUUGCCACCUGUGCUAAUAACGAUUCGGUAGCGUGACCAACCUGCGAUAAUCUUUAUAAGUAAUAGUGGUUGACAAUGCUUCUCACAUAAAGGUCCUACUUUAAUUUAUCGAAAAGAUACCUCGUAGUAGAUUUUUCAAAUCUUUAGUUAAUACUGAAUAGCAAGAGGUGGUGAAUCUCUUCAGUAGCUGCAAGAUUUAGGUUAUUCUUGCCUAAUAAUUGGAGCUAAAGAAUUAUUAUCCCGAUUUGUGUAUUGUAAAUGAAAGGUGAAAAGAAUUCCGAAAAGUAGGUGAAAUAGUGCAGUGAAAUAGUAUAUCUUAUAGCAAUAGGUGGUUGUAGAAGAAAGAAUUAUUGAGUUUCAAGUAACAUAGAGUGCUUUGCUGUUAUUAAAGCCCGAAUGCUAGCGAUCUAAUUAUCAUUAAGGUUUGUGUUUUUCAAGUUGAGUAUACUAAAGAUUAAAAUGUAAAGAGAUACACACCUGCCAUCCAAUUGAUGGUUGGUGGUUAAAUGUCAUACGAGCUGUGUUAAUAUCUGGAUGUGUUCAAAACAUAUAAUGGUGUCUAAUAAAUGUUGUGUUGUUCAAAGAUUGUUGUAAAAUGAUUCUAAUUAAGAAGG